rnacentral:rRNA from 1 species
UACGAAGGGGGCGAACGUUGUUCGGAUUUACUGGGCGUAAAGGGCGCGUAGGCGGCCUUGUCAGUCAGGCGUGAAAGCCCCGGGCUCAACCUGGGAACGGCGCUUGGGACGGCGAGGCUGGAGUUCGGGAGAGGAGAGUGGAAUUCCCAGUGUAGAGGUGAAAUUCGUAGAUAUUGGGAAGAACACCGGUGGCGAAGGCGGCUCUCUGGACCGACACUGACGCUGAGGCGCGAAAGCGUGGGGAGCAAACAGG